GGGCUGAUAGUUUAAUAAGAAUAAGAGUUUUGUAAACUUUUGGUGCGUAAAUCGCUUAGCCUU
rnacentral:tRNA from 1 species